GGAUCAUUAGCUCAGUUGGCAGAGCACCUGACUCUUAAUCAGGGUGUCCGGGGUUCGAACCCCUGAUGAUCCA
rnacentral:tRNA from 1 species